UACGUAGGGUGCGAGCGUUGUCCGGAAUUAUUGGGCGUAAAGGGCUCGUAGGCGGUCUGUUGUGUCAGGAGUGAAAACUCGGGGCUUAACCCCGAGCCUGCUUCUGAUACGGGCAGACUAGAGGUAUGCAGGGGAGAACGGAAUUCCUGGUGUAGCGGUGAAAUGCGCAGAUAUCAGGAGGAACACCGGUGGCGAAGGCGGAUCUCUGGGCCAUUACUGACGCUGAGGAGCGAAAGCGUGGGGAGCGAACAGG
rnacentral:rRNA from 1 species